GGGGGCGAUCGGUAUCGACCGGGAAGCCUGGUCAGUGAGGAAGGGUGCCGAGGACGUUGGUAACCUCGUUAAUCACCUGACACCAAUUAACUGGCAACAACAGCUAUGCUCUUGCGGCCUAAAUAGUGCCCCAAGCGCGUUGCGCCCCUUGUCUGCGGGGGCGUAAGGCGACACAACCAGCAGGCUGGCGCCGAAGCCCCGCCGCGGGGCCAGGCGCGAGAAUCUCAGCGGCCCGCUGUGCAUCCGCCCGUCCGGCGACGGUCGCACAGCCAGAGCACGAAGACGGACUACGCAUCUAGAUGCCUCAUUGAGCGACUUCGCGGCACGCGGGUUCGAUUCCCGCCGCCUCCACCA
rnacentral:tmRNA from 1 species